GACGAACCGCGCAAACGUUAUUCGGAAUCACUGGGCUUAAAGGGCGCGUAGGCGGGCCACCCAGUCCGGGGUGAAAUCUUUCGGCUCAACCGGAAAAGGGCCUUGGAUACUGGUGGUCUGGAGGAAGGUAGGGGCAUGCGGAACUUCCGGUGGAGCGGUGAAAUGCGUUGAUAUCGGAAGGAACGCCGGUGGCGAAAGCGGCGUGCUGGACCUUUGCUGACGCUGAUGCGCGAAAGCCAGGGGAGCGAACGGG
rnacentral:rRNA from 1 species